rnacentral:snRNA from 1 species
AGCUUUACGCAGUGGCAGUAUCGCAGCCAAUGAGGAUUAUCCAAGGCGCAAUUAUUGCUAAUUGAAAACUUUUCCCCAAAAUAAAUGAAUCUAUGGAAAAAAAUACA